CCUUAGUGUCUCAGUGUCUGCCAUAAUGUCUCCCAGUGUCCCUUAGUGUCUCAUUGUCUGCCAUAAUGUCUCCCAGUGUCCCUUAGUGUCUCAAUGUCUGCCAUAAUGUCUCCCAGUGCCCCUUAGUGUCUCAGUGUCUGCCAUAAUGUCUCCCAGUGUCCCUUAGUGUCUCAGUGUCUGCCAUAAUGUCUCCCAAUGUCCCUUAGUGUCU